CCAGGGAUCUCUGGAGUGUAGGCUGUACCUCAGAGUUAUUCUGUCGCAGAGGAGGAGCGCUGCCUUCCACACCCCUGUGUUGUACCAGACCAGCAUUAGCUAGGAGUCACCCUGAGCAGACAUCAACACCAGGUUUAGAGUUUCUAUUGGCCCAUCCUCAAGCUCCGUGAUUCUUUUCUCAGCCAUGUCCAGCCUACUGAUGAGUCCAUCAAAGAUAGAAACUCUGCUGCAGUUCCAGAGACCGCAUUUACCUAUGACAAGAGCUGGCUGAAGAAAAGAGGCAUCUCCUUGUUUAUCAGUAAGAUUGCCAGAAGCCUUCCCCUAUGACAGAACUAUGUCAUAUGCCUGUCCUAAAUCUGAUCACCAACAAAGAUAAUGGUAUAUCGUGUUUGGUUCAAUGAGUUAUAUGGCCUUGAGGAGGAAGGUGGGUUCACCAAAUAAA